UACGAAGGGGGCUAGCGUUGUUCGGAAUUACUGGGCGUAAAGCGCGCGCAGGCGGUCUUCCAAGUCAGUGGUGAAAGCCCGGAGCUCAACUCCGGAACUGCCAUUGAAACUGUUAGACUUGAGGAUGAGAGAGGUGAGUGGAAUUCCCAGUGUAGAGGUGAAAUUCGUAGAUAUUGGGAAGAACACCGGUGGCGAAGGCGGCGACCUGGUCCAUUACUGACGCUGAGGCGCGACAGCGUGGGGAGCAAACAGG
rnacentral:rRNA from 1 species